AUAAUCGGAUAAUUGCGCGUCUCUUUUGAGGCGUGAGGAAAGUCCAUGCUACCACGCGCUGCGAUGCGCGUAGUGUUUGUGCCUGCUGAAACCAUAAGGCAGGGUAGCUGGCAAUUGCCAGCUAACGGCGGAUGAAACACCCUAAGUGAAAAUACGGGCAAGUAAUCCCUAAGGUGCCAUAGAGACGAGGCUUUGCCGAAAGGCGGGUCAGAUGGAACGCGGUAAACCCCUCAAGGUAGCAACCCAAACAGAUAGCUUCACGGCUAUCAGGUCGGGGCACUUGCCAAAUUAGGAAUUGAACGAAAUGGCGAGGCACGCUUGCUGAUGCAGGCGGGUAGACAGAUGAUUAUCGACGGCGGGGCGCCCUUAAACGCUUGGCCUGAACAGAACAUGGCUUACAGAU
rnacentral:RNase_P_RNA from 1 species